rnacentral:rRNA from 1 species
GUUUGAUCCUGGCUCAGGACGAACGCUGGCGGCGUGCCUAACACAUGCAAGUCGAACGCUCUCCAUUCGGUAGCAAUACCGAUGAAGAUGGGGUGGCGAACGGGUGAGUAGCACGUGAGCAACCUGCCCCGAAGACUGGGACAACACCGGGAAACCGGUGCUAAUACCGGAUAUCCCUAUCGGACCGCAUGAUCUGAUAAGGAAAUGGAUUCCGCUUCGGGAGGGGCUCGCGGCCUAUCAGCUAGUUGGUGAGGUAAUAGCUCACCAAGGCAUCGACGGGUAGCUGGUCUGAGAGGACGAUCAGCCACACUGGGACUGAGACACGGCCCAGACUCCUACGGGAGGCAGCAGUGGGUAAUCUUGCGCAAUGGGCGAAAGCCUGACGCAGCAACGCCGCGUGGAGGACGAAGGCUUUCUGAGUUGUAAACUCCUUUCAGCAGGGACGAUUGUGACGGUACCUGCAGAAGAAGCACCGGCCAACUACGUGCCAGCAGCCGCGGUGAUACGUAGGGUGCAAGCGUUGUCCGGAUUUAUUGGGCGUAAAGAGCUCGUAGGCGGUUUGAUUAGUCGGGUGUGAAACCUCCAGGCUUAACCUGGAGCCGCCACUCGAUACUGUCAUGACUAGAAUUCGGUAGGGGACCACGGAAUUCCUGGUGUAGCGGUGAAAUGCGCAGAUAUCAGGAGGAACACCAGCAGCGAAGGCGGUGGUCUGGGCCGACAUUGACGCUGAGGAGCGAAAGCGUGGGGAGCGAACAGGAUUAGAUACCCUGGUAGUCCACGCCGUAAACGUUGGGCACUAGGUGUGGGGACUAUUCAACGGUUUCCGUGCCGCAGCUAACGCAUUAAGUG